rnacentral:rRNA from 1 species
UUCUGGCUCAGGACGAACGCUGGCGGCGUGCCUAAUACAUGCAAGUCGAACGGUCUUUCUAUGGAAGCUUGCUUCCACUGAGAAGAUAGUGGCGAACGGGUGAGUAACACGUGGGUAACCUGCCCAUAAGAGGGGGAUAACAUCCGGAAACGGGUGCUAAUACCGCAUAGUUUUCUUGAUCGCAUGAUCGGGAAAGGAAAGACGGCCUUUGUGCUGUCGCUUAUGGAUGGACCCGCGGCGUAUUAGUUAGUUGGUGAGGUAACGGCUCACCAAGACGAUGAUACGUAGCCGACCUGAGAGGGUGAUCGGCCACAUUGGGACUGAGACACGGCCCAAACUCCUACGGGAGGCAGCAGUAGGGAAUCUUCCGCAAUGGACGAAAGUCUGACGGAGCAACGCCGCGUGAGUGAAAGAAGGUUUUCGGAUCGUAAAACUCUGUUGUCAGAGAAGAACAAGUUGGAGAGUAACUGCUCCAGCCUUGACGGUAUCUGACCAGAAAGCCACGGCUAACUACGUGCCAGCCGCGGC